CAACCCUCAAGCCUGGCUUGGUGAUGGGGCACUGCCUGUGAAAGGGCAGGCCCUGAAAUCUAGUGGCGAGCUCGCCAGGACCCCGAGCGUAGUAGUUAUAUCUCGCUCUGGAAGGCCCUGGCGGUGCCCUGCCGUUAAACCCCCAACUUCUGAAA
rnacentral:misc_RNA from 1 species